GUUUUAAUAGUUUAAAAAAAAUAAUGAUCUUGUAAAUCAUAGAUAGACAUAAUCUUUAAAACU
rnacentral:tRNA from 1 species